rnacentral:rRNA from 1 species
UACGGGGGGAGCAAGCGUUGUUCGGAUUUACUGGGCGUAAAGAGCGUGUAGGCGGCCAGAUAGGUCUGGUGUGAAAACUCGAGGCUUAACCUCGAGAUGUCAUCGGAAACCAUCUGGCUAGAGUCCGGAAGAGGAGAGUGGAAUUCCUGGUGUAGCGGUGAAAUGCGCAGAUAUCAGGAAGAACACCAAUGGCGAAAGCAGCUCUCUGGGACGGUACUGACGCUGAGACGCGAAAGCGUGGGGAGCGAACAGG